GGCUGGGUCCUGUGCAACGGUGCGCCGUGAACCUGGUCAGGUCCGGAAGGAAGCAGCCAUAAGCGGUUGCACCGUGUGCCGCAGGAGUGCCUGGCUGGAGCU
rnacentral:SRP_RNA from 1 species